CUUACUAUUGAAGGUCAUAGGUUAAUUUACAAUUAAUUAUUCUUAGUUCGAAUCUAAGUAGUAAUA
rnacentral:tRNA from 1 species